rnacentral:rRNA from 1 species
AUCGGAGUCUGCAACCCGACUCCGUGAAGCUGGAUUCGCUGUAAUCGCGCAUCAGCCAUGGCGCGGUGAAUACGUUCCCGGGCCUUGUACACACCGCCCGUCAAGCCAUGGGAGCCGGGAGUGCCUGAAGGCCGUGACCGCAAGGAGCGGCCUAAGGUAAAACUGGUGACUGGGGCUAAGUCGUAACAAGGUAUC